AACGCUGGCGGCAUGCCUAACGCAUGCAAGUCGAACGGAGUUUAGUUAAAAAGCUUGCUUUUUCACUAAACUUAGUGGCGGACGGGUGAGUAACGCGUGGAUAACCUGCCUGUUAGACUGGGAUAACUCCGGGAAACCGGUGCUAAUACCAGAUAAUAAUUAUUUGGCGCAUGCUAAGUAAUUGAAAGGAUUCUGCUAACAGAUGGAUCCGCGUCCCAUUAGCUAGUUGGUGGGGUAAAGGCCUACCAAGGCGACGAUGGGUAGCCGGCCUGAGAGGGUGACCGGCCACACUGGGACUGAGACACGGCCCAGACUCCUACGGGAGGCAGCAGUGGGGAAUAUUCCGCAAUGGGGGAAACCCUGACGCAC
rnacentral:rRNA from 1 species